AGGACGAACGCUGGCGGCGUGCUUAACACAUGCAAGUCGAGCGGUAAGGCUCCUUCGGGAGUACACGAGCGGCGAACGGGUGAGUAACACGUGAGCAAUCUGCCCUUCACACUGGGAUAACCCCGGGAAACCGGGGCUAAUACCGGAUGCGACCACCGACGGCAUCGUCUGGUGGUGGAAAGUUCCGGCGGUGGAGGAUGAGCUCGCGGCCUAUCAGCUUGUUGGUGGGGUAAUGGCCUACCAAGGCUUCGACGGGUAGCCGGCCUGAGAGGGUGACCGGCCACACUGGGACUGAGACACGGCCCAGACUCCUACGGGAGGCAGCAGUGGGGAAUAUUGGACAAUGGGCGAAAGCCUGAUCCAGCAACGCCGCGUGAGGGAUGACGGCCUUCGGGUUGUAAACCUCUUUCAGCAGGGACGAAGCGCAAGUGACGGUACCUGCAGAAGAGCACCGGCCAACUACGUGCCAGCAGCCGC
rnacentral:rRNA from 1 species